rnacentral:misc_RNA from 1 species
AACGCACCUUGCGCCCUUUGGCUAUUCCGAAGGGCAUGCCUGUUUGAGUAUCAUGAACACCUCAACUCUCAUGGUUUUCCAUGAUGAGCUUGGACUUUGGGGGUUUUGUUGGCCUGCGGUCAGCUCCUCUCAAAUGCAUCAGCUUGCCAGUGUUUGGUGGCGCCACAGGUGUGAUAACUAUCUACGCUUGGGGUCGGCCUGCCGAGUAACCUCCAGGGAUGGGGGUUCGCUGGAGCUCACAAACGUCUUUCCUCAGUGAAGACAGCUUUUUGAUCGUUCGAUCUCAAAUCAGGUAGGACUACCCGCUGAACUUAA